rnacentral:rRNA from 1 species
GCAUAUCAAUAAGCGGAGGAAAAGAAACCAACAGGGAUUACCUCAGUAACGGCGAGUGAAGCGGUAACAGCUCAAAUUUGAAAUCUGGCUCUUUUAGGGUCCGAGUUGUAAUUUGUAGAAGAUGCUUUGGGCGUGGCUCCGGUCUAAGUUCCUUGGAACAGGACGUCAUAGAGGGUGAGAAUCCCGUAUGUGACUGGUAGCUUUCGCCCGUGUAAAGCUCUUUCGACGAGUCGAGUUGUUUGGGAAUGCAGCUCAAAAUGGGUGGUAAAUUUCAUCUAAAGCUAAAUAUUGGCCAGAGACCGAUAGCGCACAAGUAGAGUGAUCGAAAGAUGAAAAGCACUUUGGAAAGAGAGUUAAACAGUACGUGAAAUUGUUGAAAGGGAAGCGCUUGCAACCAGACUCGCAGGCCGUCGAUCAUCCGGGGUUCUCCCCGGUGCACUCGGCGGUUUUCGGGCCAGCAUCGGUUUGGGUGGUGGGAUAAAGGCCUUGGGAAUGUAGCUUCUUUCGGGGAGUGUUAUAGCCCUCGGUGCAAUGCCGCCUACCCGGACCGAGGACCGCGCUUCGGCUAGGAUGCUGGCGUAAUGGUUGUAAGCGACCCGUCUUGAAACACGGACCAAGGAGUCUAACAUCUAUGCGAGUAUUUGGGUGUUAAACCCAUAUGCGUAAUGAAAGUGAACGGAGGUGAGAACCCUUAAGGGUGCAUCAUCGACCGAUCCUGAUGUCUUCGGAUGGAUUUGAGUAAGAGCAUAGCUGUUGGGACCCGAAAGAUGGUGAACUAUGCCUAAAUAGGGUGAAGCCAGAGGAAACUCUGGUGGAGGCUCGCAGCGGUUCUGACGUGCAAAUCGAUCGUCAAAUUUGGGUAUAGGGGCGAAAGACUAAUCGAACCAUCUAGUAGCUGGUUCCUGCCGAAGU